UUCCGUAGGGUGAACCUGCGGAAGGAUCAUUACAGUAUUCUUUUGCCAGCGCUUAACUGCGCGGCGAAAAACCUUACACACAGUGUCUUUUUGAUACAGAACUCUUGCUUUGGUUUGGCCUAGAGAUAGGUUGGGCCAGAGGUUUAACAAAACACAAUUUAAUUAUUUUUACAGUUAGUCAAAUUUUGAAUUAAUCUUCAAAACUUUCAACAACGGAUCUCUUGGUUCUCGCAUCGAUGAAGAACGCAGCGAAAUGCGAUAAGUAAUAUGAAUUGCAGAUUUUCGUGAAUCAUCGAAUCUUUGAACGCACAUUGCGCCCUCUGGUAUUCCAGAGGGCAUGCCUGUUUGAGCGUCAUUUCUCUCUCAAACCCCCGGGUUUGGUAUUGAGUGAUACUCUUAGUCGGACUAGGCGUUUGCUUGAAAAGUAUUGGCAUGGGUAGUACUGGAUAGUGCUGUCGACCUCUCAAUGUAUUAGGUUUAUCCAACUCGUUGAAUGGUGUGGCGGGAUAUUUCUGGUAUUGUUGGCCCGGCCUUACAACAACCAAACAAGUUUGACCUCAAAUCAGGUAGGAAUACCCGCUGAACUUAAGCAUAUCAAUAAGCGGAGGAAGGAUCAUUACGGUAUUCUUUUGCC
rnacentral:rRNA from 1 species